rnacentral:rRNA from 1 species
AUUGAACGCUGGCGGCAUGCCUUACACAUGCAAGUCGAACGGCAGCACGGGUGCUUGCACCUGGUGGCGAGUGGCGAACGGGUGAGUAAUACAUCGGAACAUGUCCUGUAGUGGGGGAUAGCCCGGCGAAAGCCGGAUUAAUACCGCAUACGAUCUACGGAUGAAAGCGGGGGACCUUCGGGCCUCGCGCUAAAAGGUUGGCCGAUGGCUGAUUAGCUAGUUGGUGGGGUAAAGGCCUACCAAGGCGACGAUCAGUAGCUGGUCUGAGAGGACGACCAGCCACACUGGGACUGAGACACGGCCCAGACUCCUACGGGAGGCAGCAGUGGGGAAUUUUGGACAAUGGGCGAAAGCCUGAUCCAGCAAUGCCGCGUGCGUGAAGAAGGCCUUCGGGUUGUAAAGCACUUUUGUCCGGAAAGAAAUCCUUGGCCCUAAUACGGUCGGGGGAUGACGGUACCGGAAGAAUAAGCACCGGCUAACUACGUG